CGUGUCCCCCCGUGUCCCCAUGUCCCCAUGUCCCCGUGUCCCCCCGUGUCCCCCCGUGUCCCCCCAUGUCCCCGUGUCCCCCCAUGUCCCCCCGUGUCCCCCCGUGUCCCCGUGUCCCCCCGUGUCCCCCCGUGUCCCACCGGGGCAGCAGCCCGUCUCGCAGGCCCGCAGCUGCCACUCGGUGCCGUUUCCGGGCUGUCCCCCGCCGUGGCCGCGGCUCCGUCCCCUGCGCUGCGUCCCCUCCCCGCAGCUCACCGAGCAGCCGCCCCAGGGCUCCCACGGCCCCCAGGCGCCCGAGCUGGGCAGCCACAGGGACAGCGGCGUCACCGGGGCCACCGGGGUCACCGGGGUCACUCAGGGUCACCGGGGCCACCCGGGGUCACCGGGGUCACCGGGGUCACCAGGGGUCACCCGGGGUCACCCAGGGUCACUCAGGAUCACCCAGGUCACCGGGGUCACCAGGGCCACCAGGGCCACCCGGGGUCACCCAGGGUCACCAGGAUCAUCUGGGGUCACUCAGGUCACCGGGGCCACCAGGGUCACCCAGGGUCACUGAAGUCACCCAGGUCACCGGGGUCACUCAGGAUCACCCAGGUCACUGGGGUCACCGGGGUCACCCAGGGUCACUGGGGUCACCCAGGUCACUGGGGCCACCGGGGUCACCCAGGGUCACCAGGAUCAUCUGGGGUCACCCAGGGUCACUCAGAGUCACCGGGGUCACCCAGGUCACGGGGGCCACCGGGGUCACCCAGGGUCAUUCAGGGUCACCGGGGGUCACUCAGGGUCACCCGGGGUCACCAGGAGUCACUGGGAGUCACCCGGGGUCACCUGGGGUCACUCAGUGUCACCUGAGGUCACUCAGUGGCUCCCAGCAUCACCCAGGGUCACCUGAGGCCACCCAGGGUCGCCCAGGGUCAUUCAGGUCACUCAGGGUCACUGGGGUCACUCAGUGGCACCUGAGGUCACCCAGGGUCACUGGGGUCACCCGGGGUCACUCGAUGUCCCCCAGCCCCUCCCGGUGUCCCCAGGUGUGGGUGGGGCUAAAGAGGGUGGGGCCAGAGUGGGCGGGCUUUGUUGGGAUGGGUGUGGCUCAAUAUGGGCGUGGUUGGGUGAAGUGGGUGUGGCCGGUUGUGGGCGGGGCUUAGCAGGUGGGGCUGGGACGUUGGGGCGUGGCCACAGGACAGGUGGGGUGGGUGGGAGGGGCCUGUGAUGGGCGGGGCUUAGUGCAGGUGGGGCUGGGACUUGGGGGCGUGGCCAGCGUGGGUGGGGCUGAGGCUGUUCAGGGGGCGUGUCCAUGGGGCAGCUGGGCGUGGCUUAUUGUGGGUGUGGUUAUGGGGCAGAUGGGCGUGGCUUAUUGUGGGUGUGGCCAUGGGGCGGGUGGGCGUGGCUUAUUGUGGGUGUGGCCACGGGGCAGGUGGGCGUGGCUUAGGCAGGUGUAGGUGACAAUGGGUGUGGCUGGGGUGGGCGUG
rnacentral:lncRNA from 1 species